rfam:Schistosoma mansoni strain Puerto Rico chromosome 6, complete genome
AUCCAACUGACGAUUUACAAAUAGGACGAAACGCGCGUCCUGGAU